GAAGUGUUGGACUAUAGUAGACGAACGGUUGACAAUCGGGUAAUUUAGACGUGGAUUAUUAGAACAGAGUUCAACAAGGUAUGUAGUUGAUUUGUGCGUGGGCGGUGGUGUUGCAAUAUUGGUUCAUCACGUCAGCUGCAGAGACAGGUGCCUACUUUGCUUGCUACAAUCCAUCUGACAACGGAAUGUCGUAUAUUGGUCCAAAAUCAGAGUCAAGAAAAGGCAACAAGUGUUUAUCACAGACAAACGGUGAAAUCUCUUAUUGCAGAAAUCUCGACAACUCGUCAUCAUGUCCUUAGUGCAAGACAAGUAACAGCAAAAAGGAAAUCUGCGAUGUAGAUUCAUGUUAUGGAUAUUCCAUCAAUUUGAAAAAUGUUACAACGCUUUCCUCUCGACCGCUCACGAGUCAGGAAAACCCUUUCUAUUAAGCCUUGCUACAGAUGGAAAUGUAGGAAAAAACGGAGACAGUGCUUUGUAACAAUGAUGCGAAAUAAGAUUGCUUGGUGGAGGGCAGAUUUAGAAAAGGACAUUGUCAUCAAGAUUGUCGGAUUAUACGUCAUAGACCCGUGAAAAAGUGUUGAACAAAUUUAAAUUGAACUUUCCAGGUCUAACAAUAGCGAUUUAUAUAUUUCCUGUGGAGACCCAUGGAUACGCAACACUUCAGUGGAUGUUAUUGGCUAUCGCAAAUGUGCCGUUGGCAAUGCAAUAAGAGCACGGUACGUCCGUGUAAAGAGCAGUUUGAAAAUUGACGGUAUAUCUGUACUUAUUUUGUGUGAAAUGCAGAUAAAUGGCGGUAUUACACCUAUAAGACAGUGUAGACAUCGUGACUUUCUCUCAGACAAAGCUAAACCCUUUAGCAAAACUUUACGCAAAGAUUCGUUGGAAAUUCAAUGCAGUAAAGUCUACUGACCACGUUCAGUACAAAAGUUGACGUGUCAAAACUGUGG